GACGAACGCUGGCGGCGUGCCUAAUACAUGCAAGUCGAACGCACUCUCGUUUAGAUUGAAGGAGUUUGCUCCUGAUUGAUAAACAUUUGAGUGAGUGGCGGACGGGUGAGUAACACGUGGGUAACCUGCCCUAAAGUGGGGGAUAACAUUUGGAAACAGAUGCUAAUACCGCAUAAAACCUAACACCGCAUGGUGUAGGGUUGAAAGAUGGUUUCGGCUAUCACUUUAGGAUGGACCCGCGGUGCAUUAGUUAGUUGGUGAGGUAAAGGCUCACCAAGACCGUGAUGCAUAGCCGACCUGAGAGGGUAAUCGGCCACACUGGGACUGAGACACGGCCCAGACUCCUACGGGAGGCAGCAGUAGGGAAUCUUCCACAAUGGACGAAAGUCUGAUGGAGCAACGCCGCGUGAGUGAAGAAGGUUUUCUGAUCUUAAAACUCUGUUGUUGGAGAAGAAUGUAUCUGAUAGUAACUGAUCAGGUAGUGACGGUAUCCAACCAGAAAGCCACGGCUAACUACGUG
rnacentral:rRNA from 1 species